rfam:Sneathia amnii strain SN35, complete genome.
UGAAAUGAAAAAACUAAGCCAAAGACAGUAGGUGUAAAGGUAAAUCCUACCGAGGUGAGUAUGAUAUAUUUUUGUAUAUUUUUACCUCUGGCUUGAGAGGUUUUUUUGCGUAUAU